rnacentral:rRNA from 1 species
CGUACACUCCUACGGGAGGCAGCAGUGGGGAAUAUUGCACAAUGGGCGCAAGCCUGAUGCAGCCAUGCCGCGUGUAUGAAGAAGGCCUUCGGGUUGUAAAGUACUUUCAGCGGGGAGGAAGGCGAUAAGGUUAAUAACCUUGUCGAUUGACGUUACCCGCAGAAGAAGCACCGGCUAACUCCGUGCCAGCAGCCGCGGUAAUACGGAGGGUGCAAGCGUUAAUCGGAAUUACUGGGCGUAAAGCGCACGCAGGCGGUCUGUCAAGUCGGAUGUGAAAUCCCCGGGCUCAACCUGGGAACUGCAUUCGAAACUGGCAGGCUAGAGUCUUGUAGAGGGGGGUAGAAUUCCAGGUGUAGCGGUGAAAUGCGUAGAGAUCUGGAGGAAUACCGGUGGCGAAGGCGGCCCCCUGGACAAAGACUGACGCUCAGGUGCGAAAGCGUGGGGAGCAAACAGGAUUAGAUACCCGUGUAGUCCC